rnacentral:lncRNA from 1 species
GUUGAUAACAUUUUAUUAUGUCAGUUUUGAUGGACUUUCUUAAUUUAAAUAAAUUAUUCAAUAUUCACUCAGAGCAUGUUUAAUAAAAAUAUUGAUAUAUCUAUUAACAACCCAUCGACGGCUCAUGGUGCAAAUAUGUAAAAAAAUACAAUUGCGUUUUUAACACCCUUUUUUAUGUUGAAAUAAUUCCAUUCCUCCUAUUGUCUUGAUAAGACUUUGUGUUGGUCGUACUUAUCGCUACCAUCAUCACUCCGUAAAAUAUGAUCAACUUGUGAAUUUGAUUGUUCUUUCAACUGUAACGAACAAAAUCCAGUAGUGUGAUCGCACAUAUGGCAUAAUUUUAAAAUACUGUUAUAUUACAAUAGAAAAUGAAUAACGAACUCGCUUACUCCAAUCUACCUUCAAUUGAUAUAUUAUAAGUAGCGUUGCCGCCACAUCAGAAUAUUGUUUCGUAAUCAUAAAAUAUAGAGUCAUUAUAAUUGCUUUUGUAAACGACAUCUUUUUCAUUAGUAUCAAGUUCACUGCGUCAUUCUGUGUAUACUUUGGACAUAUUUCUUUCUUUAUUCUUGACCUUAAAUGAAUUCUGGAAUAGUCAAAGUGCGAUUCAUCUAAAAUCGGGACGGUUAACCUUAUUACUGUCUGUAAUUACAUAAUGUGAUUAUUGGUAGUCGUAGUUAUGGAUAAGUAAAGCGGGAGAUUUGGUUUCCAUUCUAAAUGUCAACAAACUGUCGCUACAGGGAAGUAGAUAUAACAUCAACAUGGUCAAUGCUGUUGAAAGAAUCUGAUUUGAAUUCCUUGUUUAUAUCUGCAGCUUAAUACUUCACUUGCAUCCAAAAACGAGAGAGAUUGCCUUACGAUAAUUAUAGACUGACCGUAAAAACUUCCAUAUUUAAUUCCUUCUGUUAACACCUUUAAUGUUUCUUUUCUUGAUUCUUCGAUGAUAAUUGAGCAACGAUAUUUUAUAAUCCCACGGAGCACUGCGACAAAGAUACAUACGCGUUGCAAUGUUCAUCCGAAAUCCAACCCCAGGGUUGAUAAUUUGCCUUUGCUUCGUCAGUGAAUGUUGAUAUCUAAAUUCAGGUCUGCUACUAGUUGAUUGUCAAAUGCAGUAUCUUCUAUUUGUUUUGAAUAAAUGUUAU